rnacentral:tRNA from 1 species
GUAGUAGUUCAGUUGGUAGAAUGCUUGAUUUGGGAUCAAGUGGUCGUAGGUUCGAAUCCUGUCUAC